GCAGGGGUAGCCAAGUCGGUCAACGGCGCGGGACUCAAGAUCCCGUCUCGCAGGAGUCCGGGGGUUCGAAUCCCUCCCCCUGCA
rnacentral:tRNA from 1 species